GACGGAGGAUGCAAGUGCUAUCCGGAAUCACUGGGCGUAAAGCGUCUGUAGGUGGUUCGAAAAGUCCACUGUUAAAAAAUUGAGGCUUAACUUCAAAGAUGCCGUGGAAACUUUCAAACUAGAGUAUGGUAGGGGUAGAGGGAAUUUCCAGUGGAGCGGUGAAAUGCGUAGAUAUCAGGAGGAACACCGGUGGCGAAGGCGGCGAUCUGGGUCGAUACUGACGCUGAGGUGCGAAAGCGUGGGGAGCAAACAGG
rnacentral:rRNA from 1 species